AGUGAACGCUGGCGGUAGGCCUAACACAUGCAAGUCGAACGGCAGCACUGGAGAGCUUGCUCUCUGGGUGGCGAGUGGCGGACGGGUGAGGAAUACAUCGGAAUCUGCCCAGUCGUGGGGGAUAACGUAGGGAAACUUACGCUAAUACCGCAUACGACCUUCGGGUGAAAGAGGGGGAUCGCAAGACCUCUCGCGAUUGGAUGAGCCGAUGUCGGAUUAGCUAGUUGGCGGGGUAAUGGCCCACCAAGGCGACGAUCCGUAGCUGGUCUGAGAGGAUGAUCAGCCACACUGGAACUGAGACACGGUCCAGACUCCUACGGGAGGCAGCAGUGGGGAAUAUUGGACAAUGGGCGCAAGCCUGAUCCAGCCAUACCGCGUGGGUGAAGAAGGCCUUCGGGUUGUAAAGCCCUUUUGUUGGGAAAGAAAUCUUUCAGGCUAAUACCCUGGGAGGAUGACGGUACCCAAAGAAUAAGCACCGGCUAACUUCGUG
rnacentral:rRNA from 1 species